GACGAACGCUGGCGGCGUGCUUAACACAUGCAAGUCGAACGGUAAGGCCCUUCGGGGUACACGAGUGGCGAACGGGUGAGUAACACGUGGGUGAUCUGCCCUGCACUUCGGGAUAAGCCUGGGAAACUGGGUCUAAUACCGGAUAGGACCACUGCCUACAUGGGUGGGGGUGGAAAGCUUUUGCGGGGUGGGAUGGGCCCGCGGCCUAGCAGCUUGUUGGUGGGGUGAUGGCCUACCAAGGCGACGACGGGUAGCCGGCCUGAGAGGGUGACCGGCCACACUGGGACUGAGAUACGGCCCAGACUCCUACGGGAGGCAGCAGUGGGGAAUAUUGCACAAUGGGCGCAAGCCUGAUGCAGCGACGCCGCGUGAGGGAUGACGGCCUUCGGGUUGUAAACCUCUUUCAGCACCGACGAAGCGCAAGUGACGGUAGGUGCAGAAGAAGGACCGGCCAACUACGUGCCAGCCGCCGCCGUAAAAC
rnacentral:rRNA from 1 species